rfam:Oryza glumipatula chromosome 11, whole genome shotgun sequence.
AAAAAGACAAACCCUAAGUUUUCGUAUUCAACGUUUGUCUUGUAUGAAUUUUUUUAUAAUUAGUAUUUUUAUUGUUGUUAGAUAAUAAAACAUGAUUAAUACUUUAUUCGUGACUUGUCUUUUUAAUUUUUUUCAUAAUUUUUUCAAAUAAGACGGAUGGUCAAACGUUGGAUAUGGAAACCCAGGGCUUGUCUUUUU